ACAAUCACAGAUUGGGGUUAGACAUGUUUGUCUGAUAUAAAAUAUAAACUUGACUUUAGAUAAGUAGAACUAUGUGAAAUCCCCUUUUAAGAUCAACAGCUAGAAUACUAAGCUUAUACCCAGUAAAAACAUAACACGUGAGCGGGGGAUACUUUUUGUUUGGUGAAAAAUCCGAAAAGCAAAUGUGUCAUCCAUUGUUACAACGCUCUAAUCUAAAUCUUGAUUCAAUUGUGAUAAGCCGGUAAAUGGUUUUUGAUGAUUAUCACAAGCUUAGAUAAGCCGACUCGACCAGGGCGCGGUUCAUGCAGAAGUGUUGAUUAACGAUAAACAGUUGUCUAUGCUCCACGUGUGUUCAAUGUAACAACUUCAUCUCCAACGCCCUUGAACCAACCAAUCAAAACACGAGAUAUCCUCUUUGAAGACCAUGCGGCAGUCAAACGUAACGUUAUCAGCCAAUGAAAACCUUGAUUAUCGGCUUUCGGCUUAUUCUACAAUAUCAACAAGUGGUGUAGCACACACGUGGUUUACUAUAGUGAGAAUAGUAUAUAUAGCUAGUGUGUUAGGACUGGGUCAUUCAUUCAAAUGUACUACGAUAUUAUCUUGAUCCACUACGAUUAUACAAAUAUUCAAAGAUGAUGGACUUUACUACUGCCCCGCUUCACCUUAUGACACCGCUAACAGUGGAUACAAACAUAGACUAUACUUUGGAUAUGAACCGAUUUCCAGGAUUAAAUAGUGAAGAAAGUAUGAAAGAGUUGGCAUUGCUUCCAUCUGCAUCGUCCGAUUGUGCUACAGAAGGACCACAUGUUUGUGAAUUAUGUGGAAAUCUUAUACCUUAUCAAACAGACGACAGUGUACCUUGUGGUUUCUGUGUAUAUUAUGGGCUCAUAGAAGAUAAUAAUUCUAUCACAAAACAAGAUACAGACGAACUUUUUUCAUUAAUAGCAUCUUGUGAUAUUGAUACAGAAUUUGGGAACAUGGAGAGUGGUGAUUUACAAUCAGUUUUAGAAGAUAUCAUAGAAUCCACAUCAUCGUCCACAUCUCCAUCAACAUCGUUAUCAUUAGAACAAUCUUCAGAUUCAGUCAUCACACAAGAACUAUUCCUAUCGCCUUUACCAAAGUUAUCACCUUUAUCGCCACUAGAAUCGUCCGACCUGGGAUCUUUUAUUUCUGCCACUUCCGAAACAAACAAGAGUACUAUUUGUGAAACGGACUACAGUUUUUGUGUUAAGGAAAUAGCUGCUGUUCACAACUCCGAUGUCACGUAUGGGGAUAUUUUUACGGACUCGACAUGUGUUCCCGAUGUGCUGGACAUUGACACUACGUUUUUCUCCCCCGCUGUGUAUGACACUUCGAUACGAAAAAGAAAACUCUCCACGGAUGUAGAAAAUAAACUGAGCAAGAGACAAAAAUCGUGUGAUAUUGACGAUAUAUUAUUACACUGUUUUUCUGACUUUAGUCGUGUCAAUGACAAAGCCGAAGUAAUGUCCAGGGAAUCAUAGCAAGAAGUCAGAUUAGUUAUCCCCAAAUCUAUGAUUCGUAUCGUACCCAGUAUUAUUAAAAAACAUUAAAAACAAUUCCAAUAGAUUGUUUUAAUUGAUUUGUCCUAGAUGUGUAUAUAAACAUGUCUACUUAUUCGUGCUCAAUGACUAUAUAUAUAUAUAUAUAUAUAUAUAUAUAUAUAUAUAUAUAUGUGUGUACGGUUGAUUAAUCAUGUACAUCUUUAUCAUUAUUGCGUCCGUGAGAAUACUCUCUACAUUUGAAUAGUUUUAUUCGACCAGAUAGUUUAUUUUUAUAUACCCUUGUUGUUGUUUAUUGAAUAGUUAUAAAGAAUUAAAAGUCUAAUUGUUAUUUUCUUAGAAAAAA